AGGGAAUCUUCCGCAAUGGACGAAAGUCUGACGGAGCAACGCCGCGUGAGCGAAGAAGGUCUUCGGAUCGUAAAGCUCUGUUGUUAGGGAAGAACAAGUACCGGAGUAACUGACGGUACCUUGACGGUACCUAACCAGAAAGCCACGGCUAACUACGUGCCAGCAGCCGCGGUAAUACGUAGGUGGCAAGCGUUGUCCGGAAUCAUUGGGCGUAAAGCGCGCGCAGGCGGUCCUUUAAGUCUGAUGUGAAAUCUUGCGGCUCAACCGUAAGCGGUCAUUGGAAACUGGGGGACUUGAGUGCAGGAGAGGAAAGCGGAAUUCCAUGUGUAGCGGUGAAAUGCGUAGAGAUAUGGAGGAACACCAGUGGCGAAGGCGGCUUUCUGGCCUGAAACUGACGCUGAGGCGCGAAAGCGUGGGGAGCAAAC
rnacentral:rRNA from 1 species